rnacentral:lncRNA from 1 species
ACAAAUGUUGUGUCGAAUUACCCACUCAAAUUGAACACCCACUUCACAGAUGACACCUUCUCGAUCUUUUGCCAAAAGACUCUGAAGAUUUUGGCUUAUUUAGCUGUGCAUGCUGCAAUAAAUUAUGCAACGGAUUCUCCUUCAAUUGUGCGAAGUGCAAAGAAUUUUGCCUUGAUGUUAAGUGUGCUACCUUAUCAGGACCUAUCAAACAUGAAGGUCACAAGCACCGUCUUACUCCGACGAGGUUAACAAAAUUGGCCGAUUGUAGUGCAUGUUCCUUUGAGUUCAUGGGUUUUGCAUUCAAAUGUAACAUUUGUGAUUUCAUCAUGCACAGUGAUUGUGUUAUGUUAUCACCAUCUCUGAAGCAUAGAUACGACGAACACCCUUUUAUCCUAACAUAUUAUCCUCUCCAGAACCAUCCGGAUGAUUAUUACUGUGAAAUUUGUGAGAAAGAAGUAAACCCGAAGAAUUGGUUCUACCAUUGUGUAGAAUGUGACCAGUCUAUUCACGUACAUUAUCAGAAGUAUUCAAAUAUCAAGUUUGGGGCAUCCUUUAAGGUGGAAGGUCACCAACACCCUCUCAAUUUUGUUCAAUUUAGGAACGAAUAUGGCUCUCGUUGCAAUGCCUGUGGCAAAAGAUUGCACGGGUACUUUUCCAUUUCCCCUGGGUUUGAAUGUGGGUCUUGUGAAUUUAAGCUCCACCUUCAAUGUGCUUCAGAUGCUGAAAAAUUUAUCAAAACAAUCAUGGGACAUGCGUACCAGCUUUCAACACAACUGGUACUUCUAUAAUGGGUGUCUCCAUUAUAAAAGUUCCGUUCUAGUAUCUGCAAAUGGUUUGAUUUCCUCUCUCUCUCAGUUGUAUUUGUUGUUGUUUGUGGAUUACCCUGUGCUUAUGGUAAUGUUGCAAGUUUUGCUUAAUUCAAUGUUCAGUUUGAUGCUUAAGUUCCUGCAUGUGUUGGUGCCAAAAUAAUAACAUAAAUUUUAUCCGUAAAAGCAUAAUUAAGUUCUAAUCUUAGGUGUUGUUUGAUAAAAUUGAAUCCUGAAAACUGAAACUUAAAAAAUAAGUAUUGUUGAGUGAUGAAUGUUUUAAGUUAAAAAGUUAUUUGAUAAAAGUAUAAAUGCUGAAUUAAAAACAAUUGAAAUAUUCAACAAACUAAAUCUAAAUCUAAUUUAUAUAUUCAACAAAAUUUAUUAUUUUUUUUAAUUUAUAAAAGAAGUUGUGGUGGUUUGUUGGUGUUCAAAUGGUAUUGGUGUUGGUGGUUGUGGCAUUGGUAGGGGUAGUGGAGGAAUGUUAGUGGUGGUGGUGUGUUGGAGGUAGAAUAGCGGCUGUGAAGAUGAACUGCUACUCCCAGAAUCUGACCAUGAAAUUGUGGUGGUUUGUUGGUGUUCAAAUGGUAUUGGUGUUGGUGGUUGUGGCAUUGGUAGGGGUAGUGGAGGAAUGUUAGUGGUGGUGGUGUGUUGGAGGUAGAAUAGCGGCUGUGAAGAUGAACUGCUACUCCCAGAAUCUGACCAUGAAAUUGUCUUUUCUUUGAAUUUGUUGAAUGUUUUUCACUUUCUCCUCAAAAUUUAAUAUAUAUUUUUGCAAUUUGGCUUGACUAGUGGAAUUCGAAAAAUAAAAAAAAAUGAACCAAAUUAGAAAAAAGUCUACUAACGAGAAAAGAAAAAGACAAAAACCAUAAACAAAACUAACUUUUUCUUAUUUUUAAUGAACUUAAAAUAGUUUUUAGCUCCCCAAAAUCAUUCGACCCCAUUUACCCCACAUCAAAGCCACGCUUAAGUCCUAAAAGUCAUUAGUUAAUUUUAAUAUUUUGGUUAAUUUUGCUCUUUGUCCCAAACUAUGUAGAGUUAACUGUAGAUUUGUAAAGGUCAAGGUUAUGUGAUUUUGGACUAAACCAACAACCACAGUAAAAAAUUUCUCUUUAAACUAACAAGAGUAGAGCCUCUUCCUAUUUUAAUGAAAUAUUUUAGCUUACAAGGCGUAUACAUACUACACUCAGUUUUCAGGAUUCGGGGUUAUUGCGGAGAGUUCAAUCCCUGUCGGGUUGCAGGGACCCAAAACGACGUCACCAAAUUCCCCGCAAAAAACCUCUCUCCCAGUUUUCAUCCUAGUUUCCAAAAUGGGUCUAGAUCAAUUCGUACUACACUCUAAGUACAAAACAGGGGAAUCAAAUUUUCGGAUAAACCAAACAAAACCCAGAAAGAUUUUGAUUCAAUCAUACCCAUAUAAUUGGUUUCUUAGGAUGCUUCAUCAAAUUCAUAAAACAAAUAUAUAUAUGCCUAGAUAGAUAUAAACAUAGAUACAUAUAAGGAGAAAUUACCUAUUCAAUUCAGAGCUUUCGACAAAAUUCUGAUUUUAUAGAUAUACGCUGAUGGUAAUAAUGCCGGUGUCGGUCACAAUGAUGAUGCCGGUGCUAUUACCGCCAUCAAUGAAGAUGGUGACGACGACGGUAAACAUGACGCCAAUAGCAAAGACGAAAAAAAAAAUCAUGAAUGAUUUUUUU